rnacentral:rRNA from 1 species
GACGAACGCUGGCGGCGUGCUUAACACAUGCAAGUCGAGCGGGAUCCAACCGGUGGCAACACCGGGGAAGAUCUAGCGGCGAACGGGUGAGUAACACGUGAGCAACCUGCCCCGAAGACUGGGAGUAACACCGGGAAACCGGGUGCUAAUACCGGAUGUCGUCAUUAGGCCGCAUGACCUGAUGAUGAAAGGAAUUCAUCGCUUCGGGAGGGGGCUCGCGGGCUAUCAGCUUGNGGGUGGGGUAACGGGCCUACCAAGGCGACGACGGCUAGCUGGUCUGAGAGGACGACCAGCCACACUGGGACUGAGACACGGCCCAGACUCCUACGGGAGGCAGCAGUGGGGAAUCUUGCGCAAUGGGCGAAAGCCUGACGCAGCAACGCCGCGUGGGGGA